rnacentral:misc_RNA from 1 species
GACGGAGGGCGCAAGCGUUGUUCGGAUUCACUGGGCAUAAAGAGCACGUAGGCGGCUCAGUUAGUCGGAUGUGAAAGCCCACGGCCCAACCGUGGAAUUGCAUUCGAUACUGCUGGGCUCGAGAUCGGGAGGGGUGAGUGGAACUCCAGGUGGAACGGUGAAAUGUGUAGAUAUCUGGAGGAACACCGGUGGCGAAGGCGGCUCACUGGCCCGAUUCUGACGCUGAGGUGCGAAAGCUAGGGGAGCGAACGGG